rnacentral:rRNA from 1 species
CCUACGGGUGGCAGCAGUAGGGAAUCUUUCACAAUGGGCGAAAGCCUGAUGGAGCAACGCCGCGUGCAGGAUGAAGGCCUUCGGGUUGUAAACUGCUUUUAUAAGCGAGAAAUAUGAUGGUAACUUAUGAAUAAGGAUCGGCUAACUACGUGCCAGCAGCCGCGGUCAUACGUAGGAUCCGAGCAUUAUCCGGAGUGACUGGGUGUAAAGAGUUGCGUAGGUGGCAUAAUAAGUAGCUAGUGAAAUCUGGUGGCUCAACCAUUCAGACUAUUAGCUAAACUGUUAAGCUCGAGACCGUUAGGGGUAACUGGAAUUCGUAGUGUAGGAGUGAAAUCCGUAGAUAUUAGAAGGAACACCAAUAGCGUAGGCAGGUUGCUGGGACGGUUCUGACACUAAGGCACGAAAGCGUAGGGAGCAAACGGGAUUAGAUACCCCAGUAGUC